UACAUGCCAACCAAAUUAACAAAAGUUUCACUCACAUUCAGACACAUUUAAACAACAACAACCAUCAAUUAAACAAGAGGGAUUUUAAACAGUUAAUAGUUAUUUCCAUCAUAAUCAGCAGCAAAUUAUCCACCAUUUAAUUAGCUUAGUUUCAGCAUUAAUUCAGUAAUGAGCAACAAUAUACAACAACAUUCAAUCCACCAUACAAAGAUAUUUCAAACAUUAAUUUACUCACUUCCGGUCCUCAUUAACAGCAACAAUUUAACUGAAUUUUUUCAUGCAGUUCUUCCAACCCGAAACAGCAAGAUUAAACCACUAAAGAUUGAGCAUUUUACGUGACAAAGACCAAGGAAAGCUCACCAAAAGACCUGUUCAAAGUGCCGAGACCCUCGCACUAGCUUAGAUUUCCCCUUGCCAUUUGGUCCUUCCACCUCCUUGCUAGCAAGCAUGAAACUUUCACUUGAGCAACCUAGAUACUAAAUUUCAUCCAACAUGCAGCCGUAUCUCACCCUAUCUCCUCCAUACGGACCGACCAAGGAGAAAAAAAAUGAAAUUUCCUUUCUUUCCUUCUCCCUUGGUUUGUCCGUCACCCCUUCCCACUCAGAAGUUUUUUUCCCCCCAAAUUAAAUUAAAG
rnacentral:lncRNA from 1 species